AGUGAACGCUGGCGGCAGGCCUAAUACAUGCAAGUCGAACGGCAGCACAGCAGAGCUUGCUCUGUGGGUGGCGAGUGGCGGACGGGUGAGGAAUACAUGGGAAUCUGCCCAGUCGUGGGGGAUAACGUAGGGAAACUUACGCUAAUACCGCAUGCGCCCUUCGGGGGAAAGCCGGGGACCUUCGGGCCUGGCGCGAUUGGAUGAGCCCAUGUCGGAUUAGCUAGUUGGCGGGGUAAUGGCCCUCCAAGGCGACGAUCCGUAGCUGGUCUGAGAGGAUGAUCAGCCACACUGGAACUGAGACACGGUCCAGACUCCUACGGGAGGCAGCAGUAGGGAAUAUUGGACAAUGGGCGCAAGCCUGGUCCAGCCAUGCCGCGUGAGUGAAGAAGGCCCUCGGGUUGUAAAGCUCUUUUGUCCGGAAGAAAGCGCCGGGUUAAUACCCCUAGUCGUCCUGACGGUACCGGAAGAAUAAGCACCGGCUAACUUCGUGCCAGCAGCCGCGGU
rnacentral:rRNA from 1 species